rnacentral:lncRNA from 1 species
UCCCCUUCAAUCUAUCAUAUAGAAAAAAAUCUAACUUCAUGCAUAUAUUUUCUUAAAGGAAGAAUAGUUAUUCACUUAACAAAUGAUGAUUGAACUACCUAAAGUCUUUGUUAGAUGUGCUGUGCAAAGUAGGUGAAAAGUUUGUAAAUUAAUACAGAAAAACAUAUAUCUUUUCAUGAAUGAGUGCUUUAUUUUUAGCAAAGAAACUAAACAACAUUCCUAUACGUACAAAACCACAUUUGUCUUUCUUUCUGUGUCGUCUAUAAAUAUGGCCAAAAAACUUUUCCUCUAUUUUCCACUACAAGAACAACUCCUAUACACUUUUGGGAGAAUAUUUAGUAGCUAGCAAGAUCAAAGGUUGAGAGAAAUGAUGAACAAGUUCAAGAAAUCAGAAAUUGUAGUGCUUUUAAGCCUCACAAUUCUUCUAGUAAUAACUCCUCUUCUUUCCUCAUCCCUAAGACCAACUUAUCUCUACUUCAUCUUCAACCUCCUCAUCAUUGCCCUUGGAGUACAAGCUGGGCUUCUCAAUGACCCUCCUCCCGAUCAUCAAGACAAGACCAACAAGCUUUCUCUAACUUCACCUGAAACCGUUGCUUCGUCCACGGAAACCUCCGCCCUCAAGAAGCAUAGGGCUUUGGAGAAGGCUCACUCCGACAAGAUUUCAUCCGGCAAUGUCAAAAUGGAAUCUCUUAAGAAGUGUCCCUCCGCUUCGAGUAUUUUCUAUAUCGGAGAGGGCGAUAGCGAGGCUGAGGAGACGACAGGGACGAUCGAGGACGGGGAAGAGGAGGUCGUUGUCGGGGGCGGUGGAAAUAAUAAUGGUCAAGAAUUGUUUGCUCAAGCUGAGACGUUUAUUGGGAACUUUUACAAGCAGUUGAAGAUGCAGAAAGAAGAGUCUUGGAAAAACAUUCAUGGUUUCUAUCAAAAACGCUUUUGAGGAAAUGAAUGAAAAUUAUAUGAAAAAUAUAUGAACACAAAGACACAAAAGAGAAAGCUGUUGUAGGUUUGUACAGUUUAAUCCAGUUUUAUUGUAUUGUGUUUCUAAUUUUACUUCUCUUUCUGUAACGAAAGCCAAGCCAUAAUAUAUAUAAUUUAAUUUAAGAAAAAUAUAUAUGAAGAUGAAUCUAAGAAGACUAGCUAGCAAGGUUAUAUUAUAUCGUCUAAUAGAUAUACAUACCUAAGUAAACUGCAUGGUCUGUUUGAAGGAAAAAGAAAGUUAGAAGCCUCACUCCAUGUGGGUUUAUGUUUGAACUCAAAUGUUUGAGGAUCAAGCAGUAACUGUAUUAGCAAUAAAAUGUCAAAAUGAUAUGUUUCAAUUAAAGCAACAAAAACUAUGGUAGCCAUUACGGUAAUCGUAACAAUUACGGUAACAAUACCUACGUAAUUUUUCAAGCGCAUUCACUUGGAUUGACAAUUUUAAUUUGUCAAUUAGUUUAUCGUUUGUUGAUUACAAAUUUGAAAGUGGGUCCUAGAUGUAAGUAGGAUUGCACCACACAAGUGAACAACAUCGAAAAUAAUUAAAAAGAGCUCACUUUUCUUAUUUGUAUUGAUCGAUCUAUUAUGUUUUCUAUAGGAAAACAUGGACUAAGCACAAAGCUUGCAAAUAUUAAUAAAGAGGCGAGGUUGAUAUUGCAAAGAUAGGAGACAUAUAUGAUCAUUGCAACCUUGAAAAUGUUGGUCUUAGGCGUUGGCCAUAACAUAAAAUUUUAACAUUGAAAUGAACUAAAAGAACCAAAAUUAAAAUAUUCUUUUAUGGGCAAGGCAGGAGGUGAAAAAGAUGGUUCAAUGAGAGAAAAUGAGAUAUUUUGGUGGGAAAGAAAAGCACUUUAAGAAAAAGUUAUUAACUUUUGAAAAGAAAUUCUUCAUAAAAAAAGAAAAGGACAU